rnacentral:rRNA from 1 species
UACGUAGGGUCCGAGCGUUGUCCGGAAUUACUGGGCGUAAAGAGCUCGUAGGUGGUUUGUCGCGUUGUUCGUGAAAACUCACAGCUUAACUGUGGGCGUGCGGGCGAUACGGGCAGACUUGAGUACUGCAGGGGAGACUGGAAUUCCUGGUGUAGCGGUGGAAUGCGCAGAUAUCAGGAGGAACACCGGUGGCGAAGGCGGGUCUCUGGGCAGUAACUGACGCUGAGGUGCGAAAGCGUGGGGAGCAAACAGG